rnacentral:rRNA from 1 species
GACGAACGCUGGCGGCGUGCUUAACACAUGCAAGUCGUACGGUAAGGCCCUUUCGGGGGUACACGAGUGGCGAACGGGUGAGUAACACGUGAGUAACCUGCCCACAACUUUGGGAUAACGCUAGGAAACUGGUGCUAAUACUGGAUAUGUGCUCCUGCUGCAUGGUGGGGGUUGGAAAGCUCCGGCGGUUGUGGACGGACUCGCGGCCUAUCAGCUUGUUGGUGGGGUAGUGGCCUACCAAGGCGGCGACGGGUAGCCGGCCUGAGAGGGUGACCGGCCACAUUGGGACUGAGAUACGGCCCAGACUCCUACGGGAGGCAGCAGGGGGGAAUAUUGCACAAUGGGCGCAAGCCUGAUGCAGCAACGCCGCGUGCGGGAUGACGGCCUUCGGGUUGUAAACCGCUUUCAGCAGGGACGAAGCUUUUUGUGACGGUACCUGCAGAAGAAGCACCGGCUAACUACGUG